rnacentral:tRNA from 1 species
GGCGGCGUAGCUCAGUUGGUAGAGCAGCAGAUUCAUAAGCUGCGGGUCGUAGGUUCGAGCCCUACCGCCGCUA